GAAAUCAAUGAUUAUGUUGAAUUUGAGAUAAAAGAGAUAUUAGAUUCAAAGAUAAGACAUUGAAGGCUUCAAUAUCUGGUCCUUGGGUAUGGAUAUAAUAUCAAUGAUUGCAUGUGGGAAUCAACUGGCAACUUUGUAAAUGAAGGUUCAAAAGUAUUGAAGAAAAGAAGUCUAAAAGCUACAAAUACUUAGCAUCAGCAAGGAUUGUAGUCUAAGAGAAGUGUAGAGAAAGGUAAUUCUUACUUCCAACACUCUUUACUUAUAGGUGGUGGUUUCUUUACCAAUGAGGCAACUUCCAUCCUUUUGAUAUUACAUCCA
rnacentral:lncRNA from 1 species